AAUGCUGCAGUCUGCUGUCUUCAAGACCACUCACCAAUUAGCUCUGUUUCCCUGCUCUUUUUAAACCUGCUUGCCACCGUUAAUGUUCCUGCGGUGACAUGAAGAGAGCCCCAUUCAUUUCAAAUAUCUACGGACUCGAUGACCUCUCUAAGUUAGAACAUCCUAAGAGAAUUCCAAGGACAACCUAUUUCCUGGAAGCCACCAAUCUAACCAAAUACCAGAGUCUCUCGCCUCUUGGAGUUUAUGGGCCAAUUUCUCCCAAGAUGCGUGAGCUUGUUGUGCCGCCGCCAGUGGACUCGCCAGCGGCUGAGCAGCUCAGAGUGACAGCGACUCAGCGUCUGGAAGCCCCACUGGGUUGUGAAAUGAAGAAGGCCCUCUUUGCCCCUGAUGCAGCCCGGGCGAGCCCCGAGGCUCCAGAAGCGAGCAUCUCCCAGCUCCUAAAGAGCAGACAUAUAUCCUGCCUUUAAGACAAGACUACAAUUGCAAAUCUGAGAAUAUAAAUUACACUUUCAUCUUUCUUUGGUUUUCUUUCUUUUGCUUCAGUUUUCAUUCCAGGAUAAACUUUCCUGUCAAAGGGACAUUUCUGAUGUGUCAAAUUCACCACUAUAAUGAACAGGUUGACAAAUGUGGAAGGUGAGCAGACAUUUGGAUCUGCCACAGCUGCCUGCAGCCAGAGGAAACCAUGACUUUCACAAGGAUAACGAGGCUUUGAAAGAUGGCGAAAAUGUCGCCAUCAACCUGCCCUUCUGCUACUUAGUAAUUAGAUAAUUAGUCAGGCCCUAAUUAUGGGAUCAGGGUGCAGGAAAACAAUUAGCUGAAAGAAUUACUACAUAAAACUGAAACGGAGAUUCCUGAAAACAAUAUUUAAUUUUAUGAUAUUAAUAUUUGCAGCAAUAAUGGGAGUCCUUGACUGAUGCCAGCCGUGUGCCUAGGCAUCCGGAAGGCAAGCUGGGUAUUCUCCUUCUGAGAGCUGGAUGUCAACACGAAAAUGAAUCCUGUGACACUGUCUUUUCAGGACCCCAUGUGUGCCCAGGCAGGAAGUUUGUGGCUGUUGCGUGUCAGCCAAGUGUGUACAUACCUGUGCCACACACACUUGCCUGCAAACUCCCAAUUCCUUCCCCAGGCCCCAAGAAGCUACCAAAUAUGUCUCCGGCUGCAAAGAAAAAUGGGGCCGGCUCAUAAAUUCUUCUUGCAUAUGGUAUGAGAGAGUAAACAGGUAAACAAGUUUUCAAAUGCCUUCCUCCAACCUGGAAUUAUUAACACAUUGUCUUGUUAUCAUGAUUAAAAUUAAAUGAUGUUCCAGGCUCUUUGACAAAUGAAUUUGGAAUGGUUACAGUAAUGGCAUUACUUUAAAUUAUGAAACCAGGGAGAAAAAAAAGAGAGACAAAGAGAGAAAAUUGAGCCUAACAGCCUGAUCCUUAACUAUUAUUUACCUAUUAUCUGAGAGAAUUGAAUCUCGCUGUGCUGCGGCAGAGAAUAAUAAAAGAUUUGUAGGCUUUACAAGGCCCUGUCCUCCCAUCCAGCAAGCACCAAUUCCCAGGGGCUCCAUUGCGAGCCCUGGCUCAGCUUGUCUGAUCAUUUAUCCAUAAUUAGAAAAUUAAUAUUUUAGAUGGCGCUAUGAUGAACCCAUUAUGGUGAUGGGCCCCGAUAUCAAUUAUAACUUCAAUUUCAAUUUCACUUACAGCCGAGUAAUGGGUCCUGGUGGCGGUGUAGAGAUGGGCUGGAGCUUCAGAGCAUGACGAAUACAGAUCACUGCACAUUAGGAUGAGCAAUUAUUUGAACAUGUAUAAAAACUAUUUACAAGCAAUGUAAUUGACCGGGGUCAGGGGGAGAUGCUGAAAAAUGGACAGGUUGACAAAUUCUUGUUCCAUACCAACAGAAAGGAUUUAUUAAUUUCUUUGGCUGUAAUUGAAUUUUUGAAAGGUUCUUGUUAAGCUUGCCCUGCUUUGCUCAUCUCCCGUGCUGACCUUCCAUAGAUCUGCUGCUAUAGCUCCUACUUGCUUCCGUAGCCCUUGGCAGAGAGAUUGCUGAUGGAAUUUAUAAAAAAAACAAGCAGCCACUUUCAAAAUAGAUUCAGCAGAGAAUAACAGAACCACCACUCUACUAUUGUGUAACUUUCUCUUUGAAAAAAAAAAGGCUCAUAAUCUUG
ensembl:lincRNA